ACUCUCCAGGUUCCUUACCCCUCGGAUCUAAAUAUUGGUGUGAGUGGCUAAAAGAUGAGGGAAAGUAGAAUGGAGGUGGACGUGGAGGCUUUACUGAAUACGAGUUUAUUUCAAACAUAU
rnacentral:snoRNA from 1 species